GACGUAGGGCGCGAGCGUUGUCCGGAUUUAUUGGGCGUAAAGAGCUCGUAGGCGGCUUGUCGCGUCGUCCGUGAAAACUUGGGGCUCAACCCCAAGCUUGCGGUCGAUACGGGCAGGCUAGAGUUCGGUAGGGGAGACUGGAAUUCCUGGUGUAGCGGUGAAAUGCGCAGAUAUCAGGAGGAACACCGGUGGCGAAGGCGGGUCUCUGGGCCGAUAUUGACGCGGAGGAGCGAAAGCGUGGGGAGCAAACAGG
rnacentral:rRNA from 1 species